rnacentral:tRNA from 1 species
GCGAUAGUAGCUCAGCGGUAGAGCGUCGGGGUGACCCGAAGGUCGCCGGUUCGAUUCCGGUCUAUGGCACCA